ACGACUCACCAUCUUUUGGAAAACGUGAUUUUAUAGACAAAUACUGUGGAUUGUCUACCAUGCCCCCAUGACAAGCUCCUAGUGUGAAGAAAACAGGAAGUUUUCUGUUUCCUCCAACCCCAAUAUAAGGAUCUAUAAGAGAGUUGGAUUUGAAAAUGACAUUUGAUUCCUCAUGCUGUCUCUCUUAAACAGGCCCCCUUCAAUACAAAUGGCAUGAGAAAAACUUCUUAAAGCAACUCAGAUGGAGCAAGUUAAAGAAAAGGAAAGCUAUGAAGGAGAACAGAAAGCCAACAGAUGAAACAAAUACUCUGAAAAACUGGAAUCUGCCAUUCAAGUAAUGAAAAAACCCUAAAGGAGACAAGGAACAGGAUCUACUGUAACACAAUCAGCAAAAUAAAAUGCAAAUAGCAUGAUAAAUAACCCUGCAAGCUGUCUGCUG